rnacentral:rRNA from 1 species
GAUGAACGCUAGCGGGAGGCUUAACACAUGCAAGUCGAGGGGCACCUUAGAGCAAUCUGGGGGAGACCGGCGGACGGGUGCGUAACGCGUAUGCAACCUGCCUUUAACCGGGGGAGAGCCCGUGGAAACGCGGAUUAAUACCCUAUGGUUCAUAUUAUUCGCAUGGGUGAUAUGAUAAAGAUUUAUCGGUUAUGGAUGGGGAUGCGUUCCAUUAGCUAGUUGGUGAGGUAACGGCUCACCAAGUCUUCGAUGGAUAGGGGUUCUGAGAGGAAGGUCCCCCACAUUGGUACUGAGACACGGACCAAACUCCUACGGGAGGCAGCAGUGAGGAAUAUUGGUCAAUGGGCGAGAGCCUGAACCAGCCAAGUAGCGUGAAGGAUGAAGGUCCUAUGGAUUGUAAACUUCUUUUAUAGUAGAAUAAAGUGAGCCACGUGUGGUUUUUUGUAUGUAUACUAUGAAUAAGGAUCGGCUAACUCCGUGCCAGCCGCCGCAGUAAUAC